CGAGACCCAAAGAGGAACCCCGAGGUGGGAGUUUGGUGGAGGAAAAACGGGGUGCCCGGGAGGGGGCUUUGGGCGAAGGUAAAAAGGAAUGGAGAGAUGGCAGCGAGGUGGAGCAUGAGGACUCCAGGAGAACCCCCAAAGGCCCAGACCCGGGUGUCAGAGCCCGGGGUUCGGGGUGCCAGGUAUAGAAGGAAGGUGGGAAAUGGGGAAGGGGUGUGGUAGGUAGAUAGAAAGGGUUUGUAGCUGAUUGAGGGAGGAGAUUGGAACCUGGGGAAACCGGGACUCGCUCCGAUAGGGCCGCCUUUGAGAAGAAAAACCCGGCGUAUUCCCGGGUGGAAGUGGGAAGGUGAUGCCUUUGUGACUCAGUUUUCUUUCCCCAACUCCGGGUCAGCUUUUUCCAAUGCCAGGCGUAGGUACUUCUUGGAGAGGGGCAUGUUGGGGCCCAGUAGUGUGGUUCCUCCUGCAAGCGAUGAGGAAGACAGGACCCCUGGAGGGAGACUUGGGGGGAAACGGUUUCUGGGAGGGUGGACUGGAGCGAACUGGGCAAUCUUACAGGCACUCCAAACAAGUUGUGACCCCCACCCACAAAUCCCCAGAGCACCCACUGCCCCUCUAGCUGUGGUUUCUUUAAGAGGGGGUGGAUCCUUCAUUACUGUUUUGUGCUCGAAGAUUUCCCUUUGUGCAGGCACUUCUCUCUACUGGGGUAGGUACUCUUUAAGUACCAAAGGAGGACUAGAGUUGCUUUGGCAACUGGAGGGGGAGUGGCUGACAGAUGAACCCCUGGGAUGGACUUUUGAGGGGUAGGGUCUGCCAUUUUGUUGCCAUGGCAAUGAUCCAGUGGGAUGUCCAAGAGAUGGGGGCUCAGAAUCUUGACGGGGGCCUCAGCCUUUUUCUGUGUCCUUGGGACUCUUGGCAGAGUUCUGGGGGAUGUUUCUGGUGCUGCUGGUGGAGAGGAGGUUCCUCCGAGCCUCGACCAGCCUCCAUCCAGCUGCCUUUGGGAACAAGUAGACAUAUUCCAUGCAGGUCAUGUGUGUUUCUUCAAGUCCUUCCUCUUAGGCAUGGUGGGAGGAUAGAAAUGCUCCUGAUCCUAGUUAUACCACCCUUGGCAGUUUGUUAUUAGAGACUUUAAAAAUAUAUAUUAUUUAAUUUUAUUUUUGGCUGCGCUGGGUCUUCUUUGUGGCGCGGGCUCUUUUUCCUGUACAUGGGCUUUCUUGAGUUGCAGUGUGCCCGCUUCUCAUUGCUGUUGGCUUCUCUUGUUGUGGAGCACGGGCUCUAGGGUGCUCAGGCUCAGUAGUUGUGGCAUACGAAGCUUAGUUGCCCCGCAAACAUGUGGGAUCUUAGUUCCCAGACCAGGGAUCAAACCUGUGUUCUCUGCAUUGGCAGGCAAGUCCCGGGACUUCAUGUAUACAGUAGUCUUUUUGCUUCUUUGUGCAGGUUUUUCUCCCUUUUCUUAAACUUGAGUCUUCCUUCCCAGGUAUCCCUUUUCCUCUUUCCCAGACUGUCUCCAUAGUGACCCUUUCCCUCAGCCAGCCUUCGACCUUCUAUUUCUCCCACCUUGUAAGCAUGGCUAGGCCCUCCAUGCCCAUCCCAGGUGAGAGUGGCCCAGGGGAGAGGGCUGUGGAACAGCUGGUGUGGUGGGCUUCAGGACCAGAGCCAGGAGACGUGGUUCCUCGUCUAGUCCUGGCUGCACCUCUGAGUAACUGUGACCUUGGGCAAGUCACUUCUCUUUCUUUGAGCCCUGGCCUCACUGACGAAGGGUCACAGAUAAGAUGGUAUCUGAGGUCCCAGUGACAACUGUAGAUCCUCAAGCUUAGGCCCUAUCUUGUUAUCUACUGGUCUGGGCUGCAUUGUUAUCUAGGACUGGUUUGUUAGUCUGGAAGUUCUGGAACAAUGGUGGGGGCUGGGCCUACGUUCCUGAAAUUUACCCUGCAAGCCUAUCCUAGAAAGCCUUGUGCCUCGAGGUGUAUUCCUUCUGACCUCUUACAUUUCUCCCUUAAUUUUUUUUUCUUGUUCUUACCUAGAGACUCUUUUUUCCUUAUUUUUCAUGUUUCCACCUCCCCAGUCUGGCCUUUAUAAUUUUACUUUUGCAGUAAGGUGCUGAAGGUGAAGGUGCUUAGUUUUUUUUUUGCAGACACACAGUAGGUGCUUUAUAAGUUGGAAUUACAGUGACAGACUACUAGAGCAGGAAGGAGGGUAGUUAGCUCAGCUUGCAGGUGCUAAAACAGGCUCCUGGUUCAGGAAUGUAUGUAUAACCCAGCCCUAUCUCCUGCCACUCCUCCCCAGGGUCACCUACCCUUUCAUGACUGCUUUUCUUCUUCAGAGCUACCCAUUGCUAGUUU
ensembl:lncRNA